rnacentral:tRNA from 1 species
GUGCCCGUAGCUCAGUUGGAUAGAGCAACGGAUUUCUAAUCCGUAGGUCGCAGGUUCGAGUCCUGCCGGGCACACCA